CAUUUUCUUCUCUAUCGUUAUUAUUAAUUUUGUAUAGAGGAUGUACGUAAAAGUUAGAAAAAUUAAAAUAUUUUCAAUGAUAUUGUGCUUUUUAUUAGUUUAGUACCGGAAAAUGAUUUUGUUUCGCAAGUUGAAAAUUCUUUAAAAGUUUGCUGAAUGAAAAUUGUUAUUGCAUGAGUUUUGAAGUUGGUACCUACGACGUUCACCGAUUCGUGGUUAUUUGUCUUGAAAUAUCACAUACUCCAAGUACCUGUAUCUUUAAUUGAAGUCGAACUGCAAAAUGAAAACAUCAGCUCCUAAAAAAGAACCUAAAAUGAGGAUUCGAGCGUUUCCUAUGUCAAUGGAUGAGAAAUUCGUCGACAAUAUAUGGGCUCUGUUGAAGAGUGCCAUUCAAGAAAUUCAAAAGAAGAAUAACUCUGGAUUGAGCUUCGAAGAAUUGUACCGUAACGCAUAUACAAUGGUAUUACAUAAACACGGCGAAAGAUUGUAUUCAGGAUUGAAAGAAGUUGUCACAAAUCAUCUCGAGACCAAAGUCAGAGAAGAUGUGCUGAAAUCAUUGAAUAACAAUUUCCUGCAAACGUUGAAUCAAGCAUGGAAUGAUCAUCAAACAUCGAUGGUGAUGAUACGUGAUAUUUUAAUGUACGUCGAUCGAGUGUACGUACAGCAGAAUGAAGUUGAUAAUGUAUAUAAUUUGGGUUUAAUCAUAUUCAGAGAUCAGGUUGUGCGGCACGGAUGUAUUAGAGAUCAUUUAAGAGACACUUUGUUAGGAAUGGUGAUGAAAGAACGUAAAGGUGAAAUCGUAGAUCGAAGUGCGAUCAAAAAUGCUAGCCAGAUGCUGAUGAUUUUGGGUAUCAAUACGAGGACCGUUUACGAAGAAGAUUUCGAACGGCCAUUUUUAUUCCAAUCUGCUGAGUUUUACAAAGUUGAAAGUCAGAAAUUCCUAGCCGAAAAUAGCGCUUCAGUUUAUAUCAAGAAAGUUGAAGCACGCAUCAAUGAAGAAGCUAGCAGAGCUAAGCAUUAUCUCGAUGAAAGCACAGAGCCUCGAAUUGUCGAAGUCGUCGAACAAGAGCUGAUUAAAAAACACAUGAAAACCGUCGUUGAAAUGGAAAAUUCCGGAGUUAUUCACAUGUUGAAAAAUCAGAAAACUGAAGAUAUCGCUUGUAUGUAUAAAUUAUUCUCUCGAGUUCCCGAUGGUUUGAAAAUCAUGUCAGAUUGUGUUAGCAAAUACUUAAGAGAGCAGGGAAAAGCUCUUGUGCAAGAGGAUGAUGCGGGCGCCACUAAUGCUAUUCUGUUUGUUCAAAACUUGCUCGACUUGAAAGAUAAAAUGGAUCAUUUUCUCCAUAAUUCGUUUUCAACUGAUAAAAUAUUCAAGCAAAUGAUCUCAUCAGAUUUCGAGUACUUUUUAAAUUUAAACCAAAAAUCACCCGAAUAUUUAUCGUUAUUCAUCGAUGAUAAAUUGAAAAAAGGCGCGAAAGGAAUGACAGAACAAGAAAUCGAAACCGUGUUAGAUAAAACGAUGGUGCUGUUUAGAUUUCUACAAGAAAAAGAUGUAUUUGAACGUUACUACAAGCAGCAUCUGGCUAAGCGUUUACUAUUGAAUAAAUCAGUUAGCGAUGAUAGUGAAAAGAAUAUGAUCUCAAAGCUAAAGACUGAAUGCGGGUGUCAGUUCACGUCAAAAUUAGAAGGCAUGUUCAAGGAUAUGACUGUUUCAAAUUCAAUUAACGAAGAAUUCAAAGAUCACGUAACCUCGCUAAAUGUUAAUUUAUACAGCGUCGACUUGAAUGUACGAGUAUUGACUACUGGUUUCUGGCCCACUCAAAGCGCCACUAAAUGUAAUAUACCCAUUGCGCCUAAUUCAGCGUUCGAAGCUUUCCGAAGAUUUUACUUGGGUAAACAUAGUGGCCGUCAGUUGACGCUACAACCUCAACUUGGUAAUGCCGAUUUGAACGCGGUUUUCUUCGGGGCUAAACGCGACGAAAGUGAGUCACCCAGAGACGCUGCGCCGAUUCCGUCAACAUCAUCUUUUGUAACUCCGACGUCGACGUCUUGCGGCAGCAAUACACCUGUCGUCUCAUCGACGUUUGGUACCAGUUCGCCGUUCGCGUCGGAAAAAUUCGCUCCGACUCGUAAACAUAUUAUUAGCGUAUCAACGUAUCAAAUGUGUAUACUUAUGUUAUUCAAUAAUCGUGAAAAAUUAACGUACGAGGAGUUACAAAACGAAACAGAAAUUCCUGAAAAAGAUUUAGUCAGAGCGUUACAGUCAUUAGCACUAGGUAAAAUUUCGCAGCGUGUAUUGGUUAAAGAACCAAGAACGAAAGAAUUCGAAGUCAAUCACGUUUUCUCCGUUAACGACGCGUUCUCGUCGAAAUUACACAGGAUUAAGAUACAAACUGUCGCUGCUAAAGGCGAAUCGGAACCUGAACGAAGGGAAACUAGAAAUAAAGUUGAUGAAGAUCGUAAACAUGAAAUCGAAGCCGCUAUUGUCAGAAUUAUGAAAGCUAGAAAACGAAUGCCGCACAACGUAUUGGUCGCAGAAGUAACAGAACAGCUGAAAAGCCGUUUUAUGCCUCAUCCUAUUAUAAUUAAGAAACGUAUCGAAGGAUUAAUUGAACGUGAAUAUUUAGCUCGUACUCCCGAGGACAGAAAAAUUUACACAUACGUCGCCUAAGAAUAGAAAAUUGAAUUAUGGAAAAAUUGCAAUAACUCGACAGCAUUAUAAUGGUUUAAGUACUUGCAAAUUCAUGUGUAAUGUCACAAAGGAAAAUAGCUUAUUUGAAAUAUCUUAUCAAAUUUCAUGUAUUUAAUUUGGGAAGCUGAAAAGAAAUACGCAUAAAUUGAGUAGAUAAUUCGAAUGUAUAAUUUUACACGUUACAGUUCUGUAUUUCCCCCCUGAAUUUAUUGAUUUAAAUUGUACGUCUUUUUUUUCAUCUGCUCUUUCGAUAAUGUAUUCUCGUGUGGUGUUUAUCGCAUAUAUAUUACAUAUAUUACGUAUAUAGCUGAAUUAAAUUUUUUGUGAUUUUUCUUAUUACAUUAUGGUUUUUUUAAGGCGAAGAUCGAAUACUCGCAUUGAAUACUGGUCGUUGUAGUAGUUAAUGUUCCACGAAAUGCCUAGAUCAGGUUCAUAGCGACGUUGUAAAUAAUUUUUUUUUAUUCAGGGAAGUUUUUUUUCUUAGUUGAUAUUAUCGUUUGUGUUUUUUUUUUCGAGGGUAAAUUGGAGCUUAGUUAUUUUUGCUUCGUCUAAUUAAUGCGUUUAGUUCUUUGUACUAUAAUCUCGAAUACCUACGUAUGCUGUAUAUGAUACUUACAAACGUGUUUAUCGGUUAAAAGUAUCCUCCUCCCUUCCAGUACUAUUAGAAAGGGUAGCCCAUAUCUUAAUUAUGGUUUUUAAUGCUCGACAAUGUUUAUAUGUAUUGUUACGGUACCUAUUUUAAGAUUUACUAAUUAUUUUUAACGUGUUUUGUUGACUACGAUGAAAGGCGAAUUUAUUUUUCUCAAACAAAAACAAAUGCUGUUUUUGAGUUUCGUUGAGAAGAAUAAUGAAUAAGUCUACAGGAGGGGUACGGAAGGUGAUAAGGAUUUUGUGAUCGUUGUGGUUUUCAACAUUUAAUAUUUAACAGAUUUAACUUUAUUAUAUCUCGCUUUCGAAAUUCGAAAAUAAUGUUGAGCUGAGAAUCCAAUUUUUGGUAGUAUCAUGCGUUGACAAUAAGUGUACGUUGUUGUAUAAAAGAAUAUUAUCCUAUCCCUAUCGAUCAUGUUUUUAUUUAUCGAGUCACUAAGUUAAAAUAUAUAACGCAGUUGUCGAAUUUCUUCUACUCUUAUGAUUUUUCCCUUUCGAUUUUUCGCUAAUGAAUUAUGUAGUGAGUUAUAAGGUAAUGCGUUGUUGUUUUAAAUUUGGAAUUGUAUAUUUUUUUUAUAUUUUGUUAAUUAUAGUUAUUCCGUUUCUUGUGUAUUAAUAUAUUUCAAAUAAUUAAUUUUUCACGAA